GUUGACCCCGGGGAUGCAGCUGCGGCAAGCUUUAGCCUACCGCCUGUCAAUGGCACAGCUUCCAGUGUGCAGAGGAAACACCCUGGUAGUGCCUUGAAGAAGAAGGUCUUGAGGAAGCAGGACAACGUGCCCUUACUGUCCAAGAAGCCCAUCAUCCAUGGAGACGGCAGCUUCCCACGCAACUCCUCAGUGACCCCGCAGACGGCCACUGGUGCCGAGCGCCGAGAGGAGCCGCUCCGUGGGAAGGGGCAGAAGGACGGAGCCUCUUUGGAGCCACAGCAGUCCUUGCUCGAGGCACUCUCCUUGCUCAGCAGCGAUGACUGGGAGCUGAAGGAGAAGGGACUCUUCAGCAUCAAACACCUGGCUGAGUCCCACUCAGAAGUCCUUCUUUGUAGACUUCGUGAGGUUUGCUUGGCACUUACCAACGAGGUGACCAACCUUCGCUCAAAGGUGUCUUACUCUGCAAUCGU